UAUGUGAUGUAUCCUCUUGUCGUAAUUUUGCGAGGAAGAGUUCCACAUAUUCUAUUGUGUAUGUCGCUGUGGUACGUUCACACAGGAGUCGUUACGAUAAACCUGAGCAGACAGCUGCGUCUGUUCUCCACAAAACUUUGACUUGGAUAGGUCAGGGGCCUGUGGAGGGACAAAUAGAGAUUUUGCCGAGCGGCCGUCCAGACCAAUUGCCCUCCCCACUGCGCCUCCUCUCACCCCUGUCAGCGGAGAGCGCCACGGCAGCGGGACCCGGGGGUGAUGGCACGUGAUCCGUGUGCUUAUUUUACCGCUGCAGGUUGGAUCAUUAUCGGCAGCAAACUGACAGGGUGAGCCCCUGUGGGCGACAGAUUGGAGAAGCUGCCGGAGAAACGUCCGCAUCUUCGCCGAGCUUGAUUUCCUUAGUGUCAGUCUCGUCGCGACCGGUGGCGGCUUUAAGGAGAGCUAUGGGACGGGGGAAUCUUCGGAUUUGUAGUGGCUAUGAUUGCAUUUUCUCCUAGGUGAGGGAUAAUCCAGGUACCCAGUGCCUAGAGACGCCGGUGAUAAGACAGACACAUUCUCCAGAUAGAUAUCAGUGAUGUCAGCGCCCAGGUGGCUAGAUAAACAACCCGCACACAACACGUUCUACCGAGCUGUAUCCGGAGGAAUAAUGCUUUCGUCGCCAUAUCCCUUACACCACAACACCGACCUCACGGAACUUCUAUACAAGACUGGGAAACAAAGAACAAAACAUGUACAUGGCGAGAGUGCUGUUGUUAGCAUUUCUCUCUUGGAGAGAUUCUGACAAAGUUCUAUCCUUUUUUUGUCUUUUUGGAGCGUUUUGUCAAAAUGGGAAGUUUAGGAACUUCUGAUAUAUUGUAUUCAGCAGUUGUAGGAGAAACUUGAUGCCCUAUUCACGUAGCUUAAGUGGUUUGUGAUGAGUACUAUUAUGGACCGCUUUAUUCCCGUCCAGCCUUAAUGUUUAUUUGUACACGGGCAUAUCAAUAACUGAUUACCUCUCUUUGAUAGGUGUACAGUUUCUCUUUUAUAUUGUCAAACGGCUUCUUUUAUCCUUUGAUACGCAGCGUCGCUUCGUUGUGAUCAAGAUUAUUGUAAUACGGAAUCAUGAUACCGAAUGACCUGAUCAUUUAUAUAUCAUUAAUGAUUGAUACUUAAUCCUCUCCUCGGUUAUUCAGUCGUAGUGCAGCGUUAUUGAACACCGCUUGACAUUUACUUCUAACCUCGGUAGUAUAAUAAUUGAAUAUGUAAUAAAUUGAUACAUGGAAAAAUGCAACAGAUGGUUCCAUUGUGGCAAAUAAACUAGCGAUAUUGAUCAAUUUUCCUUCGCAAGGGACAACGCGUCAACUUUCCACUUGUGAUCGCUUUCUGGUUUCGUUACCUACUCUUACAUUUCACUGUGGUCACAACAAGCUAGACCUUUCUACCUGCCAUCUUGUGUCUCGCCCCAGACAGUACACAUGUUUUAACAUUUGUGGACACGUCAGAAUAAACAGCCUAUAUUUCCAGUCUGCACGGAAGGCAACAAGGUGAAUUGCAAACUAAACUACACAAUAAGUACAUCGGCCAGCAACAACACUCGCGUCAAAAAAGAAAACAGUUGCCGGACAAGCAGUGAUGUUUGC